CAGGAGACGUGAGAGAAAGUUCUAUCAAAAAUAAAUCUAUUUCAUACUUCCCGAAUAGAAAGUGCUUCUGACAAUAGUGGAAGUGAGUGUGAAGUUCCUUUUUUCUCAACUUCACCCACGAAAAAGAUGUGAAGUGCGAAGAAAAAAAAUUCCACCACAGAAACCGCGCCACCAUUCCCAGUGAUUAUUAUUAUUUCGAACUUUUUUGCCACCCCCAUUUUCCUGGUGGUGAAAUAUAGUUUUCGCAAAGAGUGAGGUCAGGGAGCAAUUGCAAUCUGGGAAAAAGGUGAACUUUCGGUAUAAUUCUUGUAAAUGAAAGUAUGGAAAAGAAAGCUCUCGUCGCUUUUUCUGAGGCGAAUACAAUUUGUUGAAUUGCUGCACGAAAUCCCACGGAAGUUUUUAGUGUUAUAUAUGGUUUAUUAAAGAAAUGCACAAGGAAUAAUCUAUUGUUGGAUGGCGUUAAAAACUGAAAUACGCCACACUGAAAGAAGUAGUAAAUGUUCACAGAGGAUACAUCUAAACUCAAUACGAGAUCAUCAACAGCAGGAAAAGGGAGUUGUUAUCUUCAUUAACCUUUUUUAUGACCUUGUGUCACACCGUCCCCAAUAAGUCCCCUAAUCAAUACGUGAAGUAAUAAUUUGGAUUAUUUUACUAAUGUAAGUGUAUUUUGCAGUGUCUCAGAAUAAAACGGAAGAAUACCGUGCGAUUGAGGAAGUUACAUAUAAUGACAAUGAAUGUCCAUAAUGUCAGAGCUGAUCCUGCAGCGCUUCUUAACAAGCCGUAUAAAUGUCGAUUACUUGGAUUGGAUGACGGUCUUUGAACAUUCCAAAUGGAUGUCGAAUAUCUGGAUUGGAUGACGAAAGCUGACCUCUACCAGUUGUUGCCUGAGGCUUGCAACAUGGCCUGCCGUAUAAGCCUGCGCAAGGCCUUGGCUCAGAGGAGGGAAAGGGCAGGAGUGUGGAAUCCUGCUGUGCGCCCAGAAAUUCCGGAUCCGGUACCGCGCCGUCAACUACCUGUGCCAGGCCAUGCCCCCGUCCCUGUCCUAAGUUCUCUUGGUAUUCAUAAUUUUUAUUUGUAUUUUUAAAAUAUAUUUUCUGUAUUAUAGACGCUCGAGAGCAUCCUGCAAAUGACGUCGGGAGGAAGACAUGUUCUCACUAUGAGGCAUAGAAUCCUUCCGGCGUCAAUGCGUAGGAUGCUGGUCACGUGUGUCGGUAACCAUUUUUUUCAAAAUCGUUACCGAAUCACACCGAGCCACUCCGGGUUUUAUGCCCAGCAGGUGGUUUCGCUGUUUCCUCGUAAAACAAUGACUUUUUAUCACGAGCAGCUACCACGGCAGGCACUGAAGUAUAUUAUAAGUAAUUAAGUAAUGGUAAAUUGGUAACCUCAAAUUGGGAAGGCAUUACCGCCCCAUUGGGCUCACAGCCUUCUCUCUAUUAUAAUCAUUAUUACUAUUCUUCUCUUAGCGGAGAUUCUAGAGAAGUUUUAGUUUUACGGUGGCAAAGUGCCGACCAACCAUAAGUGGUUCUAAACGUCCACCUUUAUAUACAGAGACAGAGCGCAAGACAUUUUCAGUGAAGCGUAUGUUUCAAUUGGAAACAUUCAACAGCAACCAUAUGGGCUGCUUUUUGCCAUUGAAAAGCUUAAUUUUUGCAUUCUGCUGUGUUCAAACCAUUUGCAAGCGGUGGGAUUUGAACACACGACUGUCGCACUGUGAGUCAAGCACGCUAACCACUGAGCCACACCGCCCUGAUGGUGAAUAAGCUUUUUGUCUAGCUGAGAUUCACAUCGCAGCUAAUAUCAGCUGAAAUACAGCUGAAACAUUGCUAAAAAAUCAAGCCUCGCAAAAACAACUAUAAUGGACUCUGUCAGGAAGUCUUAACAUGACGAAAUGAGACGAAAAAAGGGAGGGGAGACAUUUUUUCGCGUCUAUCAUUCGGUGUGUUCGUCGUGACAAACGGGCUUGUGGCGCCUAAACGGUAAAAGAUAUCGACACGCGGUUUACGCCAAAGGUUAAAAGUAUGCAUUGCUAACGAACAUUUUUUUGAGGAAAGGUGUCAUAAAAUGCCAUCUCCUACUCAAACAUCAUAAUUUGGUAGAAAUCACCGCUAGGGGCACUAAAGUGAAAAAAAAAUGAUUUUCGAAAUUCCGCGAGAGAACAUUAUUCCACCAAAAUUCGAUUUUUCUACAAAACACUCUCGCACCUAAAGAUGUUCGAGUGGGAAAAAAUGCCAUGGUAAAAAAAUAUCGACCGACAGACGGACCAACCGUCGGAUGAAACUCAAAAAAUUGAUCCCCCUUUUUACCGUCAGAUUUCGUCAUAAUUAGCCGCCUAGAAAAAACCGCUUUGCGUAAAAAAAAAUCUUUGAACGGAAUAUAAUUUGGAAUAGUUUUGGUAAUGUUCAGAUUCACACUGUACAUAUUCAAAACAAUCUUAAGACAUUCAGGACUCAAAUGUUUGCUUUCUCUAUUUAAUUUAACACCAAAGAGAACAUCCACGAGGCUGGAAAGGACAUAGUUAGUGGAAAAGCAUAGGGAAAAUUUGUGGGAAUUGAUUUGCGAGUGAAAAUACAUUUGAGGUAAUUUUAAAUGUCAACACUCAACACAUUUUUUAUUGAAUUACAAUCCAACGUUGAAAGAUAAACAAAUUCCAGUGAUAUUCCAUUGAUUUUGCUAUUUUGGUAUUCAAAGCAGCAAGAUAUGAAAAUUCAACGUGCAAUGCU